rnacentral:lncRNA from 1 species
UUUAAAUAAAUAUUCAGACAAAAUUACCCUCGUCUUACGCUAGUUAAAGUAGCGGAUAUGUAUCUAAUAUUGCGAUUCAAACCCAUUUCAUCCCUGCGAUUCUUCAUUCCCAUUUCAACUGCUAUUCUUCAAACCUUCUUCAUUCCCAUUUCAACUGUUAUUCUUCAAACCCAUUUCAAACGCAUGCGAAUGAGCAGCAAUUUCAGAUCCGCUACCCCCUGCGACUGCCCUGCGACUGUCAUCGAAUAUCCAUGCGAUUCUUCAAACCCAUUUCAAACGCAUGAGAAUGAGCAGCAAUUUCAGAUCCGCUACCCCCUGCGACUGCCCUGCGACUGUUGUCCCCCCUGCGAUUGAACAAUCAAUUUGAUGGAGUUGUCAAUACCCUUACAGGAAUAGCUAAGAAUCAGGUCGCCAUGAACCCGACCAACACUGCUUUUGGUAUGUUCUAAACCAUCUCUGAUUUUAGCACCAGUCAUGUUUUUAUUUUUUAAACUGGUGGCCAUGGGGAAUUGAGUUCAUGUUUGGAUUUAUAUUCAGUAUAUUCUUAUACUCAUUUAAAUUUUGGCUUCCAUAGAAUAUAUUAUUGUAUUAGAUGUAUGUUGAAUUUUGUGAAUUAAUUUUUUUGGGGUUUUAAUGGUGAAUUCAGUUAAAGGUGCUAGUCUUGUGGAUUUAAAUUUCUUUUUAAGGAAUAUCUUUAAUUUUGUAAUAAAUCAGGGAUUAUAACUGGAGAUUUAUUCACCAUAACGUGUGUAGUUUUGAAAAUAGGGACCUUAUACGUAAUAUGAUCUGUAGUCUUAAUGUGUAAGAACUAAGUUUAGGUUCGAUUUUUUAAAUUUUGCUUUAGAUCCAUGAUGCUAUGUUCUGUUUCUUUUGUUUAUAUUGUUGUUUUUUUGAAUUUGUAAGAAUUAAGUUUUUAUGAUUUUUUCGUUUGCUGUUUCAGAUUCAUGAUGUUAUGCUCUGUUUAUAUUGUUGUACUCAUACUUGACUAAAAGCCCUAAAAAGACACUACAAGAAAAACGGCUAAUUCCGACGGAAUAUUCCGUCGAACAUAGUUCUAUUCCGUCGUACAUAAAUUAUUUCCAACGAAAAAUCCCGUCGAAAAAUUGGUCGUAAAUAAUCGCGUCGGAAUUACGAUUCGUCGAAAAUUCUGUCGGAUAUAACGUAUGUUCGACGCACUUAUGUCCGACGGAUAUUCGUCGAAUAUACAUUAGUUUCGACAGAAUAUUUACGACGGAAAUUUCCGUCAGAUCAAAGUGGGUUUAUGUCCGACAGAGGUAUUCUCUCGGAAUUAUAUUAUUUAUGACUGAAAACUAAAAUAAACCAAAAAAUUAUAAAAAAUGUCUACUUAUUAAGGUCGACGGAAUGUCCGUCGGAUAUAGUUUAGUUAUGACGGAUGUAGUUCCGUCGAUGAUGUAGUAUUUACGACUGAAAUUAGAAUAGUUCGACAAAUAUUAAAAAUUGUUUUUGUUAUCUCCGAGGGAAUUUCCGUCGUAAAUACCUUAUUCCGUCGGAAGUAACUACUUUUUUUUUUAAUACAGAUUUUAAAAAGUUCAGUUUCCAGGUGUUUAAACCCAUUAAUGUACCUGUAACCUGUCACAACCCAAUACACAGUAAUAUAAACCUGUAUCUCACAUUCAAAUAUGCAACGUAGCACUAAAACGUAAUCUUCAACUCAUUAUCAUUCACAUUCACAUUCACAUUCACAUUCACAUUCAAAUAUCCACCAAAAUGUAUUAUAAGCUAACCAAUUACAAAUAUAAGCUAAUGUUCCAUAAAUGUUGAACAAUAUAAUUUAUAAUAGUUGUACAGACGCAAUUAGACAAUACAAUAUAUACAAAAGUUCUACAAACUAUACAAAUGAACUACAAACUAUAUAAAUGAACUAUAAACUAGUAAAAGUGGAAUCAUGCAUCGGGCGGAGGUGAACGACGCUGCUCUGGUGGUGUAAGGUUUUCAACCUCGUGCUCCUGCUCGUCAUUGCCAGUUUGCUCGCCAUCGCCACCCUGUUUGAUAGAAUCAAAAAUAUAAAUCAUUAGUCCGUAUAUAUAUAAGUGAGAAUUAACAAACUAGCCUUAAUUGAAAAACAUAAACAAUAAAAAUACCUGAGUAGGUGGGGACGGACGAAAAGCCUCCUCCAAGAGGGUAAUCACCAUCCGGAGCAUCUCGGCGCUCUAUGCGUCGAACUGCUCCCGUGGUAAUCCCGUACUCUCUGCAGAGGCCUCUGCUAUAAUAUCCUGAUCAAUCUGGUGAAGACGAGAACUGGAAGGCCACUGCUUAUGCCGAAAGACCGGAUCGGUAUGGAACCUAUCCGACACGACCCCUAUCAGCCGCCGAAAGAUAUCGUUAUCCAAGCCAGCGCCCGUGUGAGAUGGUCCGACAUGUGCUCUCGGACGCUAGCGCUGGCUGGAGCCUAUAAAGAGAUACAAAUUCAAUUACUAAUAAUAAUUUAUAUAAUGUGAUAAAUUCGGAUAAUUUCGUGAAACAUAAAAAAAUAUUACCUCCAGGAAGUGUAUAUGCGGGUAUCCUCGGCAGACCCAACACUCGAUAUCUGCCGGUACUGCUAGUAGGGGGAUCCUGAGACGCGACCCAUAGUCUCAGCUCCUCAUCCCGAUCUAAUACAAUAUCGGGAAGAGGGGUGGCGGAAUCUAACGGCUCAGAACCCCUCCUAAUAGUCUCUAGCUCAGCUAUACGCUCGUCCCGAAGCUUCUGAAAUCGGUCCUGUAAUGUAUUCCGUAUACGUAUGUUAAUUAUAUCAUUUUAUUUACGAUUGAAUAUUAUUAAAAGCUAAAUAGUAAGAUGAGUUUUACCCGUAUAGCUAAAGCUGCCUGAGACAAAGCACGCUCGUCCUUAGGCGUGUGGGCUCGAUCCCAAAACUCUAGCAUGGUAGGAUCUCGGCCCAAGGUCCUCCCCAAUGCCUAAUACAAACAUUCAUAAAACAGGUCUUAAGUAUUUGUGUGAGAACUUGACACAUAAAUAACUAAAUACAACGCACUUACCGUCUUCGCCUCCUCGAACGACUGAGAACCAGUGGUGUGUACUAUCCGGAGCUGACCACGGUUCUUAUUCGCCUGUUCGGACUUUUUCUUGAAGUCAUCAGCUUCCCAGUACAAGCACAUAGCAUCCCAGGCUAAAUCGGAGACUAUGCGGGGCUGAUGAUCUCUGAUGGUGGUCCCGGGCUGGUCCACAACUGCCCGGGCUGCCUUCUGUCGCAUCUCAUACAGCCAUCCAGAGUAAUUCGCAGCGACGUGAUGCUCAAUCACAGCAUCGCCAGCUGACUGAGAGAUGCUCGGGUCAAAGCGAUAAUAAACCUAUAACAAAAGAUUAUUUAAAAUUAUAAACAAUUAAUUUCGUCAUCCCAAUACAACUAUGUAGUGAUAAUAUGCUUAACUUACGUGGAACUCCCGCAAGACGGUCUGCAUAAAAGUGGCAUCGUACCGCGCAUACUGACUGAACCGCAUGCACCCUCUCGGGAGAUGCGUCAAACAGAUCGCAUGUAGGGUGUGCUUAGCCACCGGGUCUAGUAUACUACAGAAAAAGUAUAACAAUAUGUGUUAUGUGAAUUGUGUUUUGCAAUAACUGAUAGAAAUAGUACGAAUAUAUUAACACUUACUACUGGAAAACGACAUCUACCGGUACUGUAAGUGGUACUGGCGGCGGACGACCAAAGAUACCGAGGUUCGUCCCUCGAUGUCGUCGACAAGGUGCAUCUGUAAUAAUUGUAUUUAACAUAGUACUUCAAUAAUCAUUGUAAUUAAUGCAGCUUGAGAUAUAUUUAAAUCCUAGUUAAGAUAACUUAUUCGCGCUUGAAGAAGAGCCUCCAUCGUGGCUACCGUCUCCAGUAUCGGAUCGCCCACCAACUCGGCGACCUCCACCGCUAUGUCUAGCCAUGAAUAUCCUACUGCAAUAACAAAAUUGGUAGAUUACGAAUAUGUAAGGUUUAUAUAACAAUANNNNNNNNNNNNNNNNNNNNNNNNNNNNNNNNNNNNNNNNNNNNNNNNNNNNNNNNNNNNNNNNNNNNNNNNNNNNNNNNNNNNNNNNNNNNNNNNNNNNUUAGUAAGACUAAAUGGAGCUUUAGGUUUCGUAGUGUUAGGGCGAAGCCACAAUUCUGGCCUAAUGUUCAAUGCCUCCAAAUCUUUCGAGCAUUGUCAUUGUCUUUAGUUUUACCACUCGCAUCUAACACGGUGUAAAACAAGUUCUCAAAAACAUUAUUUUCGGUAUGCAUGACAUCUAUACAAUGACGAAUUGAAAGUGUGCCUCAAUACGGCAACUCAAACCAUAUAGGCAAGUGUGUCCAAUUAUGAGUUUUCCCGUACCCGGCUGCCCUCAAUUUACUGUGUUCCUUCCCCGGCAAAGGAAAAUCAAGUUGAUUCAACCACUCCAAGACCUCACUGCCCGACAGCCGACCAACAACCCCUUCUUCUGUAUCUUUCUGUUGAACUGUGUAGACAUCUUUCUGUAAUUGUGAUCAAGACGCAAGAAUCUACGAGCAGUGCCAAAGAAACUACAUUUCCGCCCAUGCUGCAACUGGUUGCCUUGCACAUCCCCCAUACACACUGGACAGGACGGCUUCCCGUGAGUUGACAAACCACUAACCAUCCCAAGAGCCGGAAAGUCAGUGAUAGUCCAUAAUAGGGCUGCUUUCAUCACAAAGUUCUCGCAUAUCGAUUUAUCAUACGUCUGAACCCCUGUCUCCCACAACAUCUUUAGUUCAUCCACUAACGGUUGAAGGUACACAUUAAGAUCUUUUGUAGGACUUUUAUCCCCCGGAAUGAGUAAAGUCAAAAACAAAUAGGGAUCCCUCAUGCACAUUGUCGGUGGAAGAUUAUAAGCGACCAUAACGACUGGCCAAACUGAGUACGGCUGGCUAAAAUUAUUAAAAGGGCAAAAGCCAUCAGUAGCCAUGCCAAGCCUAACAUUCCUAACUUCUUCCGCAAACUCAGGAUAAUUUACAUCAAAUCUCUUCCAUUCAUCUCCAUUCGCUGGGUGAGUCAGCUGACCAGGCACGACAUCCCUUGUUCGAUGCCAACUCAUAUGUUGAGCCGUAUGAGACGACAUGAAUAGCCGCUGAAGUCUCGGCGCAAGUGGAAAGUAUCGUAAGAUUUUCCUAGGAACAUGUUUCUCCUUCCUCCCAUGUUUUGUAACCUUGUAGUGCGAUAAGCUGCAUAUAUCACACUGUCCCUUAUCUCUGUCAUCCCCAUAGUAUAACAUGCAAUCCUGCUGACAAGCAUCGAUUUUCUGAUACCCCAUAUUUAACCCCUUGACCAUCUUCUUCACUUCGUAAUAAUUCGCAGGAAGAGUAUGAUCCUUGGGUAAGAACUGUCCAACUAUAGCGAGCAAAUCGUUGAAACCUCUCUCACUACAGUCGUGCUCAUUCUUGAAGUGUAAGAGCUUCGUCACUGCAGAAAGCUUGGUGUUCGUAUCAUUUCCCGGAUACAUAUAUGUAGGGAGAGUAUUAUUGCAUUUAUUAUAUAUUGAAAAUUGUGGCAAACUAAGCAAAUGCUACUUAGUUUAUUUUGCCAAUGAUAAUAAACUAAGUAAGUUGUACUUAGUUUAUGAGAAUUGUUAAUUAUUUGGAAUCUAUAGAGACUAUUGUUCGACAUUCACUUCUAGCUAUACUUAGUUUAUUUUGCCAUGAUGAUAAACUAAGUAAGUGGUACUUAGUUAUUGAAAAUUGUUAUUUGGAAUCUAUAGAGACUACUUAUAUAUUUUUUUAUUUUAAUUUGUAGUAUAUUAUAUAAUUGGCUUAUUUAUUUAUUAAAUAUACUUUAUUAAAUUAAAUUAAAUUAAAUUAAAUCAUUUUAUUUUAUUUUAUUUAUUAAACUAAAUUAAAUUAAAUUUUUUAUUACUUUUUAUUUUAUUUUGUAUUAUAUUAUAAAAGUUCUAAUUUAUUUUAAUUUAAUUUGAUUUCGUAAUUAAAAAUAUCUUAUUUUAUUUUAUUUUAUAUAUCUUGUAUUAUAUUAGAUAUAUUAUAUAAUUUUUAAUGUUUUUUAUUAAAUUAAAUUAAAUUAAUUAAAUUUAUUUUAAUUUAAAUUAAUUAAGAUUAUUUAAAUUAAAUUAAAUUUAUUUUAUUUUAUUAUUUUUAUUUAAUUUUAUUUUUUAUUAAAUUGUAUUUUAUUUAUUAGAUUAAAUCAAAGUUUUUUUAUUUUAUUCAAAUUAAUUUAAUUAAUUUUUUAUUUUAUUUUACUUUAUUUUGUAUUAUAUUAUGUUAUUUAUUUUAUUUUUAAAAUUUAUUUUAUUUAAUAAACUAUAUUAAAUUAUAUUUAUUUUAUUUUAUUUUAGUAGUAAGAAACUAAGUAAAUGGUACUUAGUUUAUGAUUUAUUAAUAUUGGGAAACUAAUAACUAAUUAAUACAAUAUAUACAUGCAAGUCUGCAAUUUCAUAAUUUUGACAGAAUUUCUGUCAUAAAUUCAGUCGUAAAUAAUAAAUAUAUCAAGAUUAAAAACAGUCCUAAAAUCAGUUACAUUAUGAUAAGGAACCCAAAUUUGAUAUCAAUAUUCUGCAAUUUCCAAAUUCCAAAUCAAACUCACAGCAACAAAUUCACAGCAAAAUCAAAAUCAAAAUUCCAAUUUCAGCAAUAUACAAUCCACAUGCAAAUUCACAGCAACAAAUUCACAGCAACAACAUAUUAUCCAAAUUGGGUUAAUCUCAUAUUCAAACUCAAACUAAACCUAAAACAAAUUAAGCCACAAAUUUCACAAUUUGCAACAAAUUAACCCUAAUAAUCUAAUACUUGGCAGAAAACUAACCUUGAAAUUGAAUUAAUGUGCAAACUAAUCGACGGUGGUGCCUCGUGGUGGUGCCUGGUGUUGACAGUGGUGCUUGGUGUUGGUCGUGGUGGUGGUGCCUGGUGGUGGUGACGGUGAUGCCUGAUGGUGGUGACGGUGGUGCCUGGUGUUGGUGGCGUCUAGCUACUGGUGGUGGCCGGAACCGCUCGACAAUGAUGGUUGUGGUGGAAGUACGUGGUGGUGGUAGUGGCAAUACGUGGUGGUGGUGGAAUCGAAGGUGGUGGUGGUGGCAGUACGUGGUACGGUGGUGGCAGUAUGGUGGUGGUGACGGCGCUGGUGGUGUACGGUGGUGGCAGUAAGGGUUUUAGAUCUGAGAAAAGUGAGAGAAACGCGUAAGAGAGAAAUAAGAGAAAGAGAAAUUAUAUAUCUGAAAAGUGAGAGAAACGAGGGGGCCGGAAGACGUAAGGGGUUUUAGUCUUAUUUUCGACGAAUUGUCCGUCGUAUGUACGUUCGUCGUAAUUUGUUAUCUUCGACUAACGGUUCCGUCGGAAUAAAUAGAAUUCGGUCGAAAAUAACGCUGGCGGGAACAUUGGCGCCAAUGGGAUACAUAUAUUUUCGACGAACACCCGUCGAAAUUAACGUAUUUUCCACUGAUUUAUCUACGACUGAAUAAUCCGUCGGAAUAGAUAUUAACGGUGAAGGAAUGAGUCCGUCGAACAUAGUGCCGUCGGAAUUAGCCGGUUUUCUUGUAGUGAGAGUUCCAAUUUAUAAUUAGUGUCCAAUUUGUGUGUGGUAUGUCUGUUUUUAUAUUGGGUUUAUGAUCUAAUUUAAUUGUGCCUUUUUCAGAUGCUAAGCGGUUGAUUGGUAGGAGAUUUGGUUCAGCUUUCUCAUAAAGUGAUAUCAAUCUAAUUUUAAGAAUUGAUUCUAGAUUUAGGUGUUAUUUUGCAGUUUCUAUAGACAUAAAUAGCCUCUGCAAUCUCGAAAUUAACGGUAAAUAACGUAAUUGCUUCACAGCUACUUUGCUCCUCUUAGCAUUUGUAUCUAUUUGUGAAUUCUCUGGUACAACCAUCUCAGUCUGCUUCCAUCUCAAUGAUUUACAAAAUGUACAAGACUCUAAUUUUUCAUUCUCCCUCCAAAAGAGCAUACAAUCAUUCUCGCAUGCAUCAAUCUUCUCAUAACCAAACCCUAAAUUUCCAACCAUUUUCUUCAUUUCAUAAAAAUUAUCAGGCAAGUUUGCAAAUGAUGGAAAUGAUGACUUGAACUUACGGAGCAAACCAUCAAAGGACACGUCAGUCCAUUUGCUAACAUUUUUAUGAUUGAAAAGCCAUACAAUGAAUGAAAGGACAGUCUCAAUUUCAUAUCCAGGAUAUAAUGGUUGAUUGGCCUCUGACUUGUACUUUUGGUAUUUUAUAGCUUCAGCUGAUGAUUCCACACCGUGAUCCCUAAAUAUAUCAUUUACCAUCUCAGGCAUACGAUGAUCAUCUUCGGAUUGUGAUGGUUCGUCGUGAACAUCAUCAUUACUCACAUUCCUGACAAUCACAUCUUCCCCUUGAUGCACCCAAUUCGUGUAGCCAAACAUAAAUCCAUCACAAAUCAAAUGUUCCCGAAUAAUAGCUCGAAUCUGGUAUCGGUCAUUUACACAAUUCUUACAUGGACAAGGAAUUCUUCCCGUUACCAUGCCCACUUUUUUGAAACCAAAGUCCAAAAAUCUCUCUAUGCCUGCAAGAUAUUCUCUAGAAUAUCUUGGUAAUUCCAUCCACGUUUUAUCCAUAAUAUUAUGUCCCUAAAUCAAAUUGAACAACCAUCAGAAUGAUAUUGCGUAUAGAAACCUAUGAUAAUUAAUUAUCAUAAUUAAUUACCUUGAACCCCAACCAAACUCCCAGUUCACUCAAACAAAACAAAAAAGGUGUAUAUAAGAUUUAUGCCAAGUCCCCUUCCCACCACCCAGGUUGAUUAAAGAUAAUAGAGAGAAAUAUACUAAAACAAGUACUAAAUCACUAGCAAGCUAUAGAUUUCAAACUAACAUUUGGUGUUAGAUUUACUUUUAUGUAGACCCCAUAAAAUAGUACCACCACGGGCAAAGACACCUGUUCUUUUCAAAACUUAGGGCUUGUUAAAAUAGCAAGGUUUUUUAGGGCAAUUAAGCAUACAACUAAAACAAGUACAAGAUUUUGUUACUCGACCCUUUUCACCCACUUUCAUAUAUCGUAUAUAGAAUAGGAAUUUAGCCCUUUAUAAAAGCAGAACUUCCUAGUUUUAACGAUUCACCCCGCAGGCCAAGAAUCCUUAGAAACCUUACGAGAAAUUUGGUUACUUGUAUAAUUUUUUACCAACUACUAGAUGACUUUGAUAUUGCUUGAUUUGUUACUUGUAUAAUUUUUUAGGCCAUGCUAGCUAUUUGAGUGCUCCUCAUACCUUUAAAGUGGAUAGUUCAACUACUACCAUUAAAUAACAGUUUUACAACAAACAAAGUCAGCCCCCUUAACAGAUAAUACUGCCAAAAUGACAGACAAUAUGUUGUUAUGCCUGCCUACUACUUUAUAAAACAAAACAAUAAAAAAUUUAGCGCAACAGUUAGCUUCUCUGUAAGGUGGGAACAACCAGGGGUCUUGCUGGUAAUUGAGGAUUCAAUGAUAUUGUCCAGUGCCAAGUACCAGCGGCUACAAGGUUAUCCAAGGGAACACAAAGCUUGAACACCAACAAGACUACUAAGAACAAUUCAACUAUAUUUCAAGGACCUUUGAAACCAUACUGCAACACAUCAUUUUGCCAAUAAUAUUAUACCCAUUCCACAACAUGUCAUUAUUUUAACUUGCAAAAGCAUUUAAAAAGGACAGAAAGGUCAAGAGUAGAACCCACAACCGAAAAAGAAUAUGGGAUCACUCUGUCAAAUUGAUAUGCAUACCNNNNNNNNNNNNNNNNNNNNNNNNNNNNNNNNNNNNNNNNNNNNNNNNNNNNNNNNNNNNNNNNNNNNNNNNNNNNNNNNNNNNNNNNNNNNNNNNNNNNUAUAUAUAUAUAUAUAUAUAUAUGUAACUACUGCUUUUACAAGCUAGUUGCUUAUGCGAAAAUUUGCAGCAUCAGUUUCUUCCCAUCAAAUUUAAUUGGUAGCUGCUACCAAUGUCAUAUGAAUAUGACAUUGAACCCGAACCACAGUGACUCACAAAACACCCCACAGAAGGUGUCCCAAAAUUAGAAAAUUUAGGGCUUGUUAGAGGGAGGAGAGAAAUAGAGAAAAUCAUAACAACUAAGGGAUAAAUAAAAUUGAAAACCUAAAGAAUGAAAUUAUACCUGCUCAAACAGCCAGUCAAUAUGAUCCUUUCAAGCCGGACGGAGAGAUGGAGUGAGACGAAGUCCGACGAAGUCCGGCGUACACGAGAUGAUGCAGAGGGAGUGAGAAUGUUGAAGAUCUUGAUCGAGUUACUAAGAUGUUAAUCGAAUGAUUAAGAUGUCGAUUUGGGGGAAAGAAUAUUAGAGAUCUGUGACUGAUAAAAUGCCCCUUUAACCCCCGUAUAUGAUCCUUUCUACGCCUCCCUUAUAUGACCCUCGUUAAUUAAAAUCCUUAAAAAAAAUUCCUAUACCGACGACCAACUUGUGACCCUCGCAAUAGACUACCUUCAGGGUCCUAUACCGACGGUCAGGAAGUGAGCGUCGCUAUAGAUACCCUAUAGCGAUGGUUCCGUGCCGACCGUCGCUAUAUCUCGUCGCUAUAUGUUGAAUUUCUAGUAGUGUAUAUGCUCUGAUUAUUCUAUAUCUUUUGUUGAUUAGGGGCUUGACUCCAAGAUUGGUAAUGUAUAUGAUCCAAGGAGCACUCUUCUUUGCAUCAUAUGAAUCUUUCGAGAGGUUACUUUAACUAGAGUCCCAACCUCCACGUAGUGCUCAAACAAUUCAAUAUGAACCAAACAUGAAAGACGAUUCUACAGAUUAGCCAAAAGCAUGAGUGUUCCAACACAUUUUUUUAGGCUUCGGAUCUCACUUGUAAUUCUGUUGUGUUAUUAGCAAUGUUUGUACCUAUUAUCUGACUCACUUGUAAUUCUGUUGUAUCAGUAACAAUUUUUUUGAGAGGAUAUUUAAAAGAAAUUAUCAGAAAUAAAUAUGAUAAUAAUAUAAGGCUUGUAUUUUUUUACUCGUGUGAGUUUUAUUAUUUUACCCUAAAGACUAUCUCAUAUUUUAUUUCUUUCUUUGAUUUGGAUAUUGAUUCUUUUUGUGAUUUAGAAUUGAUUGCAUAUUAGAUUGCAUGAAUAAUUGACAAUUUCGGUGAUUUAUAUUUUAUUUCUUCUAUUAUUGUCUAUUAUUUCCUCUCUGUGAUUUGUAUUGUAUUCCUUCUAUUAUUUUUUAUUAUUUGUGUGCAUAUUGGAUUGUUUACGUCAGUUUCUGUGAUAUAUAUUGGUUUGUUGGUUUCUGUGAUAUAUAUUGGUUUGGUUUGUGAUAUAUAUUGGUUUGUUGCGUCAUAUCCGCUUGUUAUAUUUGGCAGUUUU